AUACGGAGGUUCCGAGCGUUAUCCGGAUUUAUUGGGUUUAAAGGGUGCGCAGGCGGCCAUUUAAGUCAGCGGUUAAAUCGUGGGGCUCAACCCCAUUCUGCCGUUGAUACUGGGUGGCUUGAUUGCGGUCGAGGUUGGCGGAAUUCGUUGUGUAGCGGUGAAAUGCAUAGAUAUGACGAAGAACACCGAUUGCGUAGGCAGCUGACCAGACCGCAAAUGACGCUCAUGCACGAAAGUGCGGGGAUCGAACAGGAUUAGAUACCCUGGUAGUCCGCACAGUAAACGAUGAAUACUUGUUUUCGGCGAUAUAAUGUCGGAGGCAAAGCGAAAGCGAUAAGUAUUCCACCUGGGGAGUACGCCGGCAACGGUGAAACUCAAAUGAAUUGACGGGG
rnacentral:rRNA from 1 species